CUUUUGUUUCCUUUUUGUAUUGCUUUGUGCUCCUUUUUCUUUUGUGUAACUGAUCUUGGCAGCAAGUUUAAUUUCCGAUCAGGACUCUGUGACAAGUGUCAAUCUUCAUUGUUGGUACCACUAUUGCUCUAUAAAAUGGAAAAGAACAAAAUGUUCCGAAGUUGUGAACAAUUUCAAGCAUAUAUACAGGAACAUUCUUUAUAUAACCACAAAACAUCAUAAAAGACACUUACAAGCUAUUGAAAAGAGAAAAGAUGAUUUUAAAAAGUAUAGUUUAUAUAUCUUUUCAUUUGUAAUGAUAAUUCAAAAAUGAAGUAUGGCCGACAUGUUAAAAAGUAGGUGUUAUAUAUCGAUUAACUAGAAGAAUCUGUUGAGAUAUCUCUGAAGAAGCUUUGCAACUAUGUUUCUGUAAGCUGUUUCAGUGGGAUGAAAACUGUCCCAAAACACAUAAUCCGAUCUCACGGGACAUACAGCGGCUGUAUAGUUGUUGCAUAGAGCAGUCACUUCUAUUAACCCGGUUCCGCAACAUCCUAAAUUACUCACCUUAAAUCCUAUAAAAAAUUCAUGAAAAUAUGUUAAAAGAAUUGAUUGUUUCAUUGAAAAGAGAAGUAAUGACUAAUUACCAUAUUGUUGAGGGUUUAAAAUGAGAUCAAGAAGAGGAUCAUAGAUGUCAAUAUAUAUUAAAGUCGUGUCUUGUAGGGUUCUUGACAAGCCAUCAAUAUUAGCAGAGAGUUUAGCAUUGAAAAGUUUACACGCAUCAUUAAACCGAACAACACAAUCUCUUGUUGGUCCUCCAGCUACAGUUCUCUGCGAAGGGACACAUCCUAUUGGUGGUGCACCAAACAUAAGUAUUCUUCUUGCACCAUAUUGGUACAGUGUCUACCAACAUCACACGAUAAACCAAAUAAGAGAUUAAAUAUAAUUCUUCAAAUAAUUUUCUAAAGUAGCAAAAAUCUAUAAUUACAAUAGUACAGUAAUCAAUUAAGAGAAGAAAGGUCAACAUGAAUUUAUGAUAAUUGAUAACCUUGCAGUAAGUAAAACUCUAAAAGUCAUCCCUAUCAAGGAUUUUUCAAGUAUAGACUUUCACAAUAUACAUUAAUAUUUAUAGUAAGAAAAUUUCUCAAAAACUUAACAGAUUUGUGCCAAGUCUUUUAUUUGAAAAAAUUUAUAUGAUUUUUUGGGUUAAAUUCACCCAUUAUAAUAUUAAUGUAUGGUGAAAAGAUUUUCUUUAAAAAACUCUAGCUAAUGAUGCUCUAAAUACCGUUGGCUUUUUACCCUAGCAAAAGAGCGAGCAUUGUCGGCCAUAAGAGCAGUGAAAGAAGCCACGUUGUAUUGGAGCUGAGUCGUAGGGAGACUAAAGAAGUUGUUUGCGAUAUCGUUACUACCACAUAUAAUAACGAACAAGCUAUUCGUAAUUAUGAACGUUGUCCUCUCUUGUCCCACCAUUCCAUUCAAUUUCUCUAUAUACUCUUCAAAAAAUUUCAGUUGUUGCGAUAAUGGUAUUCCUCCCUUUAACGAUUAGAAAAAACUAAUAGUUAAUAUUUAAAAGUUCAUUAGAUAAACAUCAAACAUAAGAAGUGGUGCUUCUUGUAAAUUCUAGUAGAGCUAGCCUGUCACCAAUUGCCUAUCUACGUUACAGCCAAUUGUUGUUAUAUAAUUAAAAAUGAAUAAAAUCAAAAUUCUGUCUUUUUGCUCAGACCGUUCAUUCCUUGUUAGAUAAUUAUACCUCCAACCAGUCGAGGCAAGUGAUGCAUGGCCUAUGAUAUUUUCGUGUUUUAAUGAGUUUGAGUGAUUCUCUGGAGUCCACUUUGCGUAUUUUUAUUUGUUUUGGAGCUAUCAGCUACGAGUACUUUUAUUUUAACGUUGUGGUGUGUGGUAUACUGGUAUGUAUAGGAUUCUUGUAAAACUUCACUAAGAACGCUGACAUUUUUCUUUUGAAAGCCUAUCUUAUUUGAAUUUUUGGAUACUUUUCUUAUUUGAACUUGACCAGAGUAUAUAAUUUCUAUCUUUGAUAUUCUUUUUAAAUGCAUCUCUUAUUUUCAUUUCUUUAUAUAUAUAUAUAUAUAUAUAUAUAUUAUAUUAUAUCUGAAAUAGACAGAUUUGAACAUAAUGAUUAGUAAUUUAUGUUUUCUAAGAGCAUUUCCAAAAGAAACACUAUACCCCUAAUUUCAAAUAUAGUUUUUUUUUGUUUUCCAAAAAAAAGUUUCAAAACUUCAAAUUCAUAUUUUUUUUUUGCAUUUUGGUAUUUACAUUGGACUCACUCUCUUCGAAUAUUCAAAUAUAUACUCCAAAUGUACACAUCAUAUUUAUAAUUCUUAAAUAUUUUUUUUGUUUACCGUUUUAAUCCUCAAAAAUAUAUAUCUCAUAAAUAUUUCACAUUUUUUUUAUAAAUUUAAGUUUUACACAUAAAAUUAAAUAAAAAUUUUAAAAUAAGAUUUAAAAUAUUUUAAAACAAUAUUUUAUCAACAACAAUAUUACAAAAGAAACCUAAUAAAAAGGUUUAAAACGUACACGAAGACAUAAUUGAUCAUAUAGCAGAAAAUAAGGAAACCCGAUUCAACAAUUUUUAGCUCAAAAUUGUAAGGUCACUUCUUACUUUGAAAUGCACUAGUUGAUCAUAUAUGCGAGCAUUAUAGAAAUAAUUUUAUAAAAUAAUGUGGUAUUUUUCUUGUAAUUUAAUAUUUAAGAUUGUAUUUCUAUUGAUAAUUUUAUUUAUAACUGUAAAAUUUAUUAACUAAUAUUGAUGUAAUAUUUUUAUAUAUGUGCUAUUUAUUUUGUAAAAGUUUUAUAAAUUUAAAUUAAUUAUGACAAAUAUAAGGACCAUAGUAUAAAAUACAAAUAAUUUUGAAGUUAAGUUUGAAGUUUUGGUUUUGGAGAAAAACACUUUUAAACUUUAAAUAUUGAUUUUUGCAAACUUUAAAAAUAGAGAGUUUUUUUGAAAUGUUUUAAAAUCAACAACCUAUUUCACUAAGAUGUAUAGUUUAGUGGCUCGUGGGUCAACCCACAUGAACUCCUCUUUUGAUAUGGCUUAUAAUCUAUAAUCUGGUCGGUCGCGGAUCGUACUACAAAAUCGACUAACCCAAAAAUAUAUCACACUGUCUGAUCCGAGUUUGAAAUACCUUCUGACUAAUGACAAGGGGUGGAUCGAUUACGAUUCACCAUGUUAUCACUUGUACAAAAAUUCAAAUUAAAACUGACCAAAGUAAUGAUAAAUUAGUUCUCAACUGAAUUUAACUCAGGAUCAAUGUGGAUAUACAAUAACUCCUAAAAAGUUAUCACUCAGCUACUAUUUCUCAGGUACCCAUACGAAAUUUAUUUGAUAAAAAAACAAUAAUGGUUUAAGUUUUCUGAACUAUAUUAUUAUUAUUGUUAUCCCUUAAUAAUAUAGUAAACCUUCUAAUAAUUUUAGACGUAAGCACGGUCAUGAAUCGCUAUGUGACGAUGUGUGUGAUCGAUCUUGAUCUUGAUCUUGAACCAUAAUAUUUUGUUGUAAUAUUUUGUCGAACAAGAUACGUUAAUAUUGUGUGAUCGAUCUUGAUCUCCGUUAUGGAAGAUGAUCGUGCUCUCCACUUGGGCCAGUAAUGGGCCAAAAUGCUUUUAACUCACCUUUUACCUUAUGGGUUAUGGGUUCAAGUUCUAAUGAUAUGUGUUCACUUAUAAAAACUCUAUUGGAUCUGCUGACCAUGAUACACUAGCCAUCUUGGUUUGUAACAUUUUAUUUCUUUUCUGCUAUUUAAAUUGAAAGCCUUUUUACAAAAAAAACAAAAUACGUUAAUAUUUGGGUUUGUGUUGAACUAAAUAUUUGGGCCUUCCGCUAAAUUGGUUUUCCACUUUCGCUUCAUUGUCAUGUUUAGCUUUCAGACGAAGAAAAUCUAUGGACUUUAGAGUUCUUUUGGGCCUGCGUUGAACAUAUUUUAAUUACCUUUGUUCAUUUCCAAUCUCCUUCCAUUUUUAAAUAGAGUGCAGAGUAAAAUCUACUCUAAUCUUAUUUUAUUUUUGUUGACAAAAAAACUAUUUUAUUUUCACUUUAUAAAUUAAGAUUACUACAAAAAUAAAGUAAUUAUUUUAUUUUAUAUAUAUAUUUUUUCAUUUUUACUCCAAAACAUAGUAGGUUGAAGUGAAACUCAACUACACUAUAGACUUCUUUUUUUUUUUAGAAAAUGGAAUAAUACAUUUGAUAUUAUUAUAAUCAUGUUGGUUAUGAAAUUUAGAAAGCCACAAAUAUCUUGAUAUAGUUUUAUUAGCUUUUAACAAUAUGAAUUAUAAAUUCUAUAUACAUUAGCUCUCUAAAAUUUAAAGAUGAAGACUAAUGUUUCAGUAGAAUAUGUCAAUAACCAAUCCUACUUAAUUUUUUUUAAACUAAGGUAGUAAGCACUUAAUAGCACCUGGCUUGUUUUUUUAACUUAGCCUUUGGCCAAAUUUUCUCAACCAUUUAUAGAAAGAUGGGGUCGAAAUCCCGUGCUUGUUGCUAGUUAAUCAGAACGUUUUGCUUCUAUGUAAAAUUUCUAACCUUUUGUUUCCUUUUUGUAUUGCUUUGUGCUCCUUUUUCUUUUGUGUAACUGAUCUUGGCAGCAAGUUUAAUUUCCGAUCAGGACUCUGUGACAAGUGUCAAUCUUCAUUGUUGGUACCACUAUUGCUCUAUAAAAUGGAAAAGAACAAAAUGUUCCGAAGUUGUGAACAAUUUCAAGCAUAUAUACAGGAACAUUCUUUAUAUAACCACAAAACAUCAUAAAAGACACUUACAAGCUAUUGAAAAGAGAAAAGAUGAUUUUAAAAAGUAUAGUUUAUAUAUCUUUUCAUUUGUAAUGAUAAUUCAAAAAUGAAGUAUGGCCGACAUGUUAAAAAGUAGGUGUUAUAUAUCGAUUAACUAGAAGAAUCUGUUGAGAUAUCUCUGAAGAAGCUUUGCAACUAUGUUUCUGUAAGCUGUUUCAGUGGGAUGAAAACUGUCCCAAAACACAUAAUCCGAUCUCACGGGACAUACAGCGGCUGUAUAGUUGU
rnacentral:lncRNA from 1 species